AUUGAACGCUGGCGGCAGGCUUAACACAUGCAAGUCGAGCGGGGGAAGUUGCUUCGGUAAUUGACCUAGCGGCGGACGGGAGAGUAAUACUUAGGAAUCUGCCUAUUAAUGGGGGACAACAUCUCGAAAGGGAUGCUAAUACCGCAUACGCCCUACGGGGGAAAGCAGGGGAUCACUUGUGACCUUGCGUUAAUAGAUGAGCCUAAGUCGGAGUAGCUAGUUGGUGGGGUAAAGGCAUACCAAGGGGACGAUCUGUAGCGGGUCUGCGAGGAUGAGCGGCCAAACUUGGAGUUAGUCAGGACACAGACUCCUACGGGAGGCAGCCGUGGGGAAGAUUGGACAAUGGGGGGAACCCUGAUCGAGCCAUGUCGCGUGUGUGAAGAAGUCCUUAUGGUUGUAAAGCACUUUAAGCGAGGAGGGGGCUCUUUUGGUUAAUACCCAAGAUGAGUGGACGUUACGCGCAGAAUAAGCACCGGCUAACUCUGGGCCAGCCGCCGCGGUAAAAC
rnacentral:rRNA from 1 species